UAACUGAAGAGUUUGAUCAUGGCUCAGAUUGAACGCUGGCGGCAGGCUUAACACAUGCAAGUCGAGCGGGGGAAGGUAGCUUGCUACUGGACCUAGCGGCGGACGGGUGAGUAAUGCUUAGGAAUCUGCCUAUUAGUGGGGGACAACAUCUCGAAAGGGAUGCUAAUACCGCAUACGUCCUACGGGAGAAAGCAGGGGAUCUUCGGACCUUGCGCUAAUAGAUGAGCCUAAGUCGGAUUAGCUAGUUGGUGGGGUAAAGGCCUACCAAGGCGACGAUCUGUAGCGGGUCUGAGAGGAUGAUCCGCCACACUGGGACUGAGACACGGCCCAGACUCCUACGGGAGGCAGCAGUGGGG
rnacentral:rRNA from 1 species